UACCAGCUCUCCGAGUGGUGUGGAUGUUUAUUGGGCCUAAAGCAUCCGUAGCUGGCUGGGCAAGUCCCCUGUUAAAUCCACCGAUUUAAUCGUUGGUGUGCGGGGGAUACUGUUCGGCUAGGGGACGGGAGAGGCCGACGGUAUUUCCGGGGUAGGGGUGAAAUCCUAUAAUCCCGGGAAGACCACCAGUGGCGAAGGCUGUCGGCUAGAACGCGCCCGACGGUGAGGGAUGAAAGCUGGGGGAGCGAACCGGAUUAGAUACUCGGGUAGUCCCAGCUGUAAACGAUGCAGGCUAGGUGUUUGGGCGGCCACGUGCCGCUCUAGUGCCGCAAGGAAGCUGUUAAGCCUGCCGCCUGGGGAGUACGGCCGCAAGGCUGAAACUUAAGGAAUUGGCGGGGAGCACCACAAGGGGUGAAGCUUGCGGUUU
rnacentral:rRNA from 1 species